rnacentral:rRNA from 1 species
AGUGAACGCUGGCGGCAGGCCUAACACAUGCAAGUCGAGCGGCAGCGCGGGGCAACCUGGCGGCGAGCGGCGGACGGGUGAGGAAUGCAUCGGAAUCUACCCUGUCGUGGGGGAUAACGUAGGGAAACUUACGCUAAUACCGCAUACGACCGAGAGGUGAAAGUGGGGGACCGCAAGGCCUCACGCGAUUGGAUGAGCCGAUGCCGGAUUAGCUAGUUGGUGGGGUAAAGGCCCUCCAAGCGACGAUCCGUAGCUGGUCUGAGAGGAUGAUCGGCCACACUGGGACUGAGACACGGCCCAGACUCCUACGGGAGGCAGCAGUGGGGAAUAUUGGACAAUGGGCGCAAGCCUGAUCCAGCCAUGCCGCGUGUGUGAAGAAGGCCUUCGGGUUGUAAAGCACUUUGUUCGGGAAGAAAUCGUGCGGAUUAAUACUUCGUACGGAUGACGGUACCGAAAGAAUAAGCACCGGCUAACUUCGUGCCAGCAGCCGCGGUAAUACGAAGGGUGCAAGCGUUACUCGGAAUUCACUGGGCGUAAAGCGUGCGUAGGCGGUUGGUUAAGUCUGCUGUGAAAGCCCUGGGCUCAACCUGGGAACUGCAUAAC